AAGUGUUGUCGUUAAAAAGGGGCAUAUACUCUUUAAUAUUCAAUUCAAUUCCAUUUUUAUUUAUAGAGUACAUUCCAUGCACAACGCAAACUCAUUGUGCCUUACAGUGGUUCAAACAGUUAAAAUAUAUAUAUAUAUAAACAGUAGUUUGAGGCCUGUCUUCUUAACAUGGCUAAGUGAAUGGGGAAGGUGACUGAGUUCACAGGGCGAUAUGACUAGUUAAGAUCUGAGGCAGAUUUGAAUCCAACCAUGAAUUAUUACGUAAAACCAGAGGAGAGCUACCAGUUAGAGCGCCCAUAUCAUAGUUCUCGACAGUAAGAGCACUGACAUUAGUCUGCAGUGAUCGUGUGUCUACUCAUUGACAAAUUAAUGAGCCUGCACUGUCACCUGGUGGAUUGCAGAUACCGUGCAGGACGCUUGUGAUUGGAUAACGAGGCGCCUCUGUGCCCUUUAAAACCGGAAGGAAGUGGUAAUACUUUCCGUUCGGGUGAUGGUCGCAACAAGGCGCAGUGUGAAGGCACGGACAAAAAAAAAGGUGUAGCAGCAGACCGGUGGACUCCAUGACGCCAAGAAGUUCGAAGCAUCUGGUUUCUGUUACGUGAACGUCGUCGCCCUGGCCAUUUGUGAGCUUUUCAAGACAUCAGGGCUGGAAAGAACAAAUACUGCGCAGUGAAUAACCCACGAAGCCAUCUUUAAACCAUUUGAGCCCAAAGAAUAGCAUGUGAGAGGGAGGUCCAGGAAUGCUGCCAACCAAGGGGGGAAAAAGGAAGCAGAAGAGAGUUCAAAAGAAGAGGUUUAAUGAAGUUGUUCCACUCCUGAUGAUGGGACCUUUGAAUCCUGUGAGCACAUGGUUGACAGAAGUAGUGUUAUGUGCAAUGGAGGAGAACACAGACACGGCAGCUUGGACUCUGCCAGGUAGAGUGAAGGAGCAACUUUAUUGGAAGCAGAUCACUUGAUGUUUGCUGGACUUGUGAGUGUUUUACUGAAUUGUGAUAAUUUGCUGUGUAACUUGACUGCUAUGCUAUUGUCGACUUUGACAUGUUUUUUUA